AGCAGCCGCGGUAAUUCCAGCUCCAAUAGCGUAUAUUAAAGUUGUUGCAGUUAAAAAGCUCGUAGUUGAAUUUCGGGGUCAGUAGGCUGGUCAUGCCACAGGUAUGCACUGGUCUCACUGAUUCCUCCUUCCUGAUGAACCGUAAUGCCAUUAAUUUGGUGUUGCGGGGAAUCUGGACUGUUACUUUGAAAAAUUAGAGUGUUUAAAGCAGGCUAACGCUUGAAUACAUUAGCAUGGAAUAAUGAAAUAGGACGUUCGAUCCUAUUUUGUUGGUUUCUAGGAUUGACGUAAUGAUUAAUAGGGAUA
rnacentral:rRNA from 1 species